UUUUCUUUCCAGCAAGAGUCACUUACCACUUAUGACUUCCCACUUAUGAGACACUUUCUGGUGGGGCCUAGAUAUGUUUUUGACAAAUUUAUCCUUGUGGACAACGAGUUAUAGACGACGACGAAUUGUGGAUCGACUUGUGAACGAUGAGUAAUUUGUAGACAUAUGAAUCAAGAAAAUGCAGAUAAUAUGUAUGAUGGUUUACUUCAACUAAUACAAAUUUGAAUUUCAAAGAAAUUUGACAUGAUAACCAUUAUGUACAUGAUACACUUAACACCAUGUGGAGGAUAAUUUCUAUGAGAUGAUUUGUUAUGGACAUAAAUUAUGGAUAUAUAUAUAUAUAUACAUCUCAUGAACACAUAUGGUUAAGACAUGUAAAUUAUGGACAUAAUAAUUGUGGACGCAAAAAUAUGGACAAGGUGACUAUUUAUGAUACUAAAAAGCUAGACAUGAGAAAAAGAUCUACGCUUUAUAAAAGAUUGCUCGAGCUUUCCUUAUAUAAUUGAAGAGGCGAAGACGGCUACCACAACGAUCUUGAGCAUGGCCACAACGCCGCGGUGAAAGCAGAUCAUGAUGACACAUAAGACCACGUGGAUGGUACUUGCCGAUGGCUUAGGGCUUCAAUUAAGUUUGCUUCACAUCGGUGAACAGACCUAAGUUGCAGGUACGG
rnacentral:lncRNA from 1 species